rnacentral:lncRNA from 1 species
CCCUAGCCUCUACCCUCAUUUUCUCACAUCUCCCUCUCUCUCUUUAGCUCUCCCUCUCUCUCAUCCGGCUCUCUCUCUCUCUCUCCGGACGCCGCCACGCCGCCGCCGCCAUCGCCGGAACCCCAUUCUUUACCAAAAUUUCCAGAUUUUCUCCUCUUCCUCCCCUCUUUCCGUUUCUCCAAUUAAAAUCAUGAAAUUUAGCCAUUUAAUCCUCCAAAAACCCUAGAACCCGAAGCUAAAAUUGGGGCUUUUCGUGAUUUCUUCUUUCCAAGCUCAAAUCAAGAGGCUAGGCUACGGGUUUGGCAAGGAUUUGUGGUGAAGAAGGCCAAGGAGGAGGAUUAGGCCGUGAGUUUUGAAGAAGUAAGGGUAAGGAAUGGGAUUUUAUUAGCCUAAUUUUCAAAGUGUUGGAAUUUUGGUGUUGAAGAUUUGGUGAUUGUUGUUGUG